UACGUGAAACCGUUCAGGGGUAAACCUGAGAAACCCGAAAGUUCGAAGGCGGAGAUUCAGUAGCUUACCGUGGGCGACGACCCUCUCGAGGCGGCGUAAUCAACUCGGCGUUCGCGCUGGGGUGCGUCCGUUUUCGGGGCGUCGUCAACGGCGCGUGCAUUUCUCCGUUAGUAGGACGUCGCGACCUGUUGGGCGGACGGUUCAAGGCCCGUUCGGUAGCCCGUCGGGUGCGGUUAACGCCGCAUCCCGUCGGACCGACGCGGUGUCCCGACCGCCGCCCGACAGUGUUUGGAGGCGCAGGGCCGCCCUCAGUUGGCGUCCGGCCCGUCGCAAAAUUUGCGCGCUCUGUCGAUCUCGGUACUCCGUACCGGUUCGCGGACCGCAGGUUUCUUGCGGCGGCGUUCUCGGACAGACCCUAUACGCGCCCGUCUGCGACGCUAUCGCUUUGGGUACUUUCAGGACCCGUCUUGAAACACGGACCAAGGAGUCCAGCGUGUGCGCGAGUCAUUGGGUACAAUCGAAACCUAAAGGCGGAAUGAAAGCGAAGGCGCGCUUAGCGUGCGCUUAGGGAAGAUGGGCGAGUUAAUUCUCGCCUCGCACUCCCGGGGCGUCUCUUUCUCAUCGCGAGAAAAGGCGCACCAAGAGCGUACACGCUGGGACCCGAAAGAUGGUGAACUAUGCCUGGUCAGGACG
rnacentral:rRNA from 1 species